AUUGAACGCUGGCGGCAGGCCUAACACAUGCAAGUCGAGCGGAUGAGUGGAGCUUGCUCCAUGAUUCAGCGGCGGACGGGUGAGUAAUGCCUAGGAAUCUGCCUGGUAGUGGGGGACAACGUUUCGAAAGGAACGCUAAUACCGCAUACGUCCUACGGGAGAAAGUGGGGGAUCUUCGGACCUCACGCUAUCAGAUGAGCCUAGGUCGGAUUAGCUAGUUGGUGAGGUAAAGGCUCACCAAGGCGACGAUCCGUAACUGGUCUGAGAGGAUGGUCAGUCACACUGGAACUGAGACACGGUGCAGACUCCUACGGGAGGCAGCAGUGGGGAAGAUUGGCCAAUGGGCGAAAGCCUGAUCCAGCCAUGCCGCGUGUGUGAAGAAGGUCUUCGGAUUGUAAAGCACUUUAAGUUGGGAGGAAGGGCAGUAAGUUAAUACCUUGCUGUUUUGACGUUACCAACAGAAUAAGCACCGGCUAACUUCGUGCCAGCAGCCGCCGUAACAC
rnacentral:rRNA from 1 species